rnacentral:lncRNA from 1 species
AGUCAGCGAUUCCUGGCUAGGACCGGCUGGACCAUCAACAUCUGGGAAAUUCACAUUAGCUGUGCAGUGCAUUUGUUAAAUGUCCAUCCCCAGGCACAACUUGGCCGAGCACACCUUUGCUGCAAAGCUGGAUACCGAGAGGGUUAUCCAUCUGUGCCACCACCACCUCCGUUCCUGCAGGAUCCUUCAUUGUCGAUCAUGAAGCCUUGAGAGUAAGGAAUCCACAGAAAUAUUUGUUCAGUCAUGUAAAAAAAAAACAAAAAACAAAAACUUUUGAGGCAGUAUAAAAUGGUCUCUUCUCCCCCCACCCCCCAACCUACUAAGAGUGUUUUUGCAAACAGGAAAACAUUGAGUGGUACUAAUACUCCCAUAUCCAAUGAGCCACAUAGCUUUCAUAUGGAGCUUUUCUGUGUGAGCUGUAUGGUGCCAAACCAGCAAUCAUUUGUGUCUAUGACACAUAGUAUAAAAGAGCAUCCACUAAGCUUGAGCAGAGUCACUCAAUUAAGACCUGAGUGACACUAUUUGUAAAUAUACCUAGUGUGAAGCACAUAGAUCUUUAUUUUGGUGACUUUUUUUUUUUUUUGAAAAAUAGAGAAAACCACAAUUCAGGGAUUUAUAUAUGUAGCUUGAAGAUUCCCACAAGUUUCUGCCAGAGCUAGCAAUUUCCUGUCAGGUACCCUGUUAGGACAAACCAGAAGCAAUGACUCGUGUUGAUGUUGCAGAUAAAUAGCACCAUUAUUUGGGGGGAAGGUUUUUUUUGUUUCGUUUUGUUUUUCAAAAGCAGGCUUUUGAACACCACAGUCUAAAUGCCAAUGAAAACAGUUCAUAGAUUGCAGAAAUGUCACUGGUUCCAAAUCUGAGAAAUAAAAUGGGCACAAUGGUCAGAUAUGGCUGCCUCUGACCAGUAGUCCCUUCAUCCCCUCACAAAGGAUGGAGGAGAAGGGGGGGAGGGGAAUCCUGAAGAGUUAUCCCAGCCACAACUCAGGAUCCAACACUACCUGAACUGGGAGGAACACCCUACCGGAUUGUUCUUGGAUGUCGGGGAGUGAGAGGUCUUGGAGCCCUGCACUUGCAGGGAACUUGAUUUGAUGGCACUAUGUUCAUAGUUGUGGGGGCUGCACUCGGGAGGCCCUGCUCAGCCCUGUGAACCAACUGAGGGGGGAAUGUGGGUAAAAACUGCAAAGAAAUGUUAUCUUAGCUCUUGGGUUCCUUUUCUUUCCCUUUUUAGCACUGAAAAAAAAAGUCUGUUUGGGCUAUUAAAGCAUGCUAAUUAGGCUCUUGCCUUUCUUUUUGUUUGCAACGAUGACAUGAAUUGAGGAGUGAGUGUCUCUUGGGAAAGCAGGGUCUCCCUUGUCAGUGUUCCUUAGCGUUCAUGCCACCACCAUCGUGUCUUGAAGUGGUUCUUCUGCAGGGCACUGAAGAGUCCCGUUUGUUUAGUGUUUGUUCCAAUUUGUAUGCUCCGACCCAGUGAGCAGCGGGGUAGGGUGCAAGGAAGGACCCUUAGCUUUGCUUCAAACCAAGAAUAGUUAAUAGCACCAUGGCGUAUUUAAAUUUUGUUCAAAAGUCUUUAUUAUAUUACUCUUUAGCUUGCUUAGAUCAUGUUAACAGAAAGAUCCAUUUUAACUCUGAAAGAAAAGUAACCCAGAGAAGCCAUUCUCUAGUCCCAUGCUAGUCUGAUAUAAUUUUAGUUAAUUGGCCCUUACCAAAUUUCCUAUAUAUAUAUAUAUAUAUAUAUAUGUAUGUAUGUAUGUAUGUAUGUAUGUAUUUGUAUUUUACUAUGAUAGUUGAGAAAUUUAGUCUCUUAGUAUUCUUUUGUUUGGUUGUUUGGUUGGGUUUUUUGUCUUUUGUUUGUUUGGGUUUUUGUUUUUGUUUUUAUUUUAGCUGUUUUUGUGCAUGAUACAAGUUAAGAUGCCCUGGAUGUUUGAUUUUGGAUGACAUGCUAUGUUCUUGUCAGUGGUGGUUCAUUUGCAGUAAAUUGAUGAGGACAGGCUGUAAACAUGAAGCCAGCACUGUGUAAAUCAUUACAGAGUUCAUUCAGUUACUGCUCAAGUCUCAUCUGGGGGAAGUUCCAAAAAUAACCAACAUCUUGUGUUUUUGAGUUUCACAGUGGGAAGGGUACAUCAUUAAAUGGGCAUUUUGCACUCGAAAGUCACUUGGUUUGGAGACUGUGUGUAGCAUAGCUUUGUUCAACUAAGAAGAUACUAAAUAUGCAGAUGUUGCAAGAGCCUUGGAACAGAAUUACAGGGGAGUGAUAUAUGUAUAUGUAUGUUUUAUUAAACACCCACCUGCACUAUCAGUAUUGCACUAAUGUGGAAUUUGAGAGACUAUUGCUGAUAUUGUAAUCUGCGCACCAUUCCUUAGAUUGUUAAAAAAGACAAUCUCAGAGAUCAAAGGUUUUAUAAUUUGGUUUGAAAUUAGAAUUGUCUUGAAGGAGUUGCUAACGUACAUGAAGUCACUUGAGUUCUCUUUAUUCUCUUCUUGGUCAAGGUUAACAGUUUCUAAACGAUUGCAAAUUCACUUAAGUAAUACAUUUACAAAGCCAUUUUACAUGCAUUAAAAGAGGGCUACAAUGUGUUUUACAAAUACUAGCACUUUUUUUUCCUGUUAUGUACCUAGUGUUAGAGGGUCAGAAUAAUCUUUCUGCUUGGCAUCUCUUAAAACCUACCUGCAAGCAUAGCAGGCUUAUUGCAUUUACAGUUCUUUAAUACUUGUAUAAACUAUGCAGAAAUUUUUAAUAAAGUGUAAUAUAUUUUAUAAGC